CUCCAUGACCUUUUCCAGGCUGAGACCAGGACUCAACCUCCCAAGGAAAUGUGGGGAAGGGGCCUGCAUAAACGUUGAAAGAAGCAGACAGAAAAAGGUGAGGUUGUGGGGAGGGCAGCAGCAACCACCACCAACCCAUUGCUAUUGUGGGAGGGAGUGUGUAGCUUGUAGGUUUGCUUUUUUUUUGUUUUGCCUCUUGAGUUUCUCCCUCUCUCUAGGGCUGAUUUUGUCUCUCUGGUUGGGUUUGUCUGUGUUCCUUUUUACAGUAUUUUGCUAGGCCUGUGUAUAUUGGAAGAAGAGGAGUUUGCCUUCUGUAAAAGUGGAGUUUGUGUGGCUGGCUGCAUGUAAUAAUAUAAAUUUUAUUUAUACCCUGCCCUCCCCGGCCAGAGCCAGGUUCAGGGCAGCUAACAACAGUAAAAAUUACAGUAAAAACAGAAUGGGGGGGGAACCAAUUUAAAAUACAGGUUAAAAUGCAAUUUAAAAUGCAGCCUCAUUUUAAAAGUAGCCCAUAGAUCAAAAAUGUCCUACUACCGCAGUCGUUUUGGUGAAUGGGCAGCCCCCCAACCCAUUAACAGUCAUUUUUGUGAGGGUGCCCAUGGCCCACUCCCAAGGUUGUAAACAUGCCCAUGGGCCUCAAAUGACUUAAUUAGGCUGGAUUUUUUUAAAAAAAAAACUUUUCCUUUUUUUAAGGAGGAGGAGUGUACUUUAUUCAUUCAUUUAUUGCAUUUAUAUCAUAUCUUUUUCUCCAAGGCGUUCAAGGUAGUGGACAUGGCACUCCCCUUCCCCCAUUUAAUCCCCACAACAACCCUGAGAGGCAGAGCCUGGUGCAAGGUCACCCAGUGAGCUUCAUGGCCGAGUGGGGAUUUGAACCCUGGUCUCCCAGGCAGAGAUGAUGCGUCUCUCAUUUGUGGGUGGUGCCAUUUGGGCUACAGUAAGCAAUGUCACUCCCAGCCUGGACACUGGAAAUAGAAAGGAUGGUCAUAAUCUCCACAGAAAAGUAAUUGUUUACAAUAUGUAACGGCAACCUUAAUAUUUCCCCCUAAACUUCAGUCCCAAUACUUGCCCAGCAUCUCCAGCUAAAAUAUAUAAGAUAGAAAGCAAAACUGGGAAUUAUCCCUUCAUCAGAGCUUGAAAAAAAGACUGCUGCUCUGUUUUAGACAGUCCUGGGUUUGAUUGGGCCAAUGGCGGAUUACUAUUUAUAUGUUCUUAGUAUUAAUCUUAGGGUAGCCAAAUGCAAAAGAGAACAUGGCUGCUGCCCCUUUAAUAGCUGGACAGAAGAGGGGAUUUCAGCAGAUACAGUUCCCAUUACAAGCUACACCUGCUGAACUUUCCUCUUUUCCACAACUAUGAAAGGUGCAGGGCUCUUUUUCGGUACCCAGGCAGCCUAAUCCUUCUCCACAGAAAUGUAGCUAAAGUUGAGGACGCUAAGAUAGGCACAGAGCAGUAGAGGUUGCUUGAAAAUUUCAAAAACACCAUUUGGCACUUUAAAAUAAAUUAUUUACUACUUGUCAUACCCAAUUAUCUAACAGAGUCAAAAUGAGCAAUUCCCCCCCAAUUCCAUUUAGGAAAAAGGACGCUGCUAAGGUAAUGUCAGUGCUUCCUGAUACUGGCUUUUCCUAUUGAUUUUAGUGCUUUUGCAAAUAAUUGGUACACUGUAGUGUUGCUUACCUGCAAGCCAGGUGUUAAUUGUGUGCCAGAUUCCAAAUCCCAUGCAGAUAGUUGCAAAGGACUACUGGUGUGUGUGUCUGUGUGAGGGAGCAAUAACAGAAUCCACUGCGCAAAACUAGAAAUGGUAUCUCUAAGCCCCAUGAUAAUGUGAGGCGCUUCCUGUUUUCCUCUCAGUUUUGCACACAGCUACUGUUGCUGGGGAAGCUGACAUCUAGGAGCGCCCUUAGCAAUUAAGGCAGGAGCCGGUAUGGACACGCUUUCCCUUGUGUGUCACUAAACUCAUUAUAUUGGCAGUCAAACAGGAAAUAAAAGCCGGGCAAGCUUCUCCCGUUCCUCAGCAAUGGAGUCACUGCAAGGAGGAGUGCUAGGAUUAGGAAGAGCAGCCCAGAGCGUCUCUUUUCCUUUCACCUUCCCAUAGACACAAAACUCAGAGGUGUAGCCGUGUUAAGUCCAUUGCAGCAAUAACAACAGUGGAGUGAUUGCACCAGAAGCUUUCCUGGGCCAUAGCUAAGUUUGUCCAAUGAAUGAAGCAUUACCCAAAUUUGGCAGAUUACACAAAACACCCUCACAUUGGGUGUGGAGGGGAAAUGUUGUAAGCAGUGAGGGCGAAAAGGCCACAAAAUGUAAGGAAGCAGAAGGCUUCUAAGAUUGCUUUACAGCACCAAAAUGUAUACAGUGGUACCUCUGGUUACGAACUUCAUUUGUUCCGGAGGUCCGUUCUUAACCUGAAACAGCUCUUAACCUGAGGUACCACUUUAGCUAAAGGGGCCUUCUGCUGCUGCCGGCGUGCGAUUCCUGUUCUCAUCCUGAGGUAAACCUGAGGUACUACUUCCGGGCUAGUGGAGUCUGUAACCCGAAGUGUUUGUAACCCGAGGUGUUUGUAACCUGAGGUACCACUGUACAAAUUAGUGCUCUUGCUGCAGUACUAAUUUAACAUACAACAGAGGGUUGCUUUUCCAUUAGAAGUGUUAAAUUUAACAUAGGAUAGCUGGCUUGGAACCAUGAUCUUCCCACCCUGCAAUAAAACGACUCUUGUAGCUCAGUGGUAGAGAAUCUGCUUCGUAUGUAGAAGAUUCCUGGUUCAAUAACCAGCAUCGCCAGGUAGUAAUCAGAGAACUUCCUACACACGAAACCCUGCAGAGAGUCUGCUGGUCAGGGUGGACAGUACUGCGCUAAAUGGACCAGUAUUCUGACUCUGUAUAAGGCAGCUUCCUAUGAGUCCUUUUCCAGGCCAAAUGUCAGCGGAUGCAGAAUUCUUGCCAUGAAGAAAGCUUCAGCUCUCGAAUUUCCCCCUGCCAUGCCGUUGCUAAAGGCGCAGGAACUCUGGCAGUCCUAGCCCCAUUCUAUCCUUUAACUCAGCACCACCCAUAUCCAGUCCUCCAGCCCUUUUAGUCAGUACUGCUGCACCCAUUAGCCCUUUGCUUGCAUGGAUAAUUCAGGUCGCUGUGAUGCGAAGUAAAAUGCUGGUGGCAGCAAACACAAAUGGCCCGCAUGCUUCUCAGGUUCAGGUUUGCUAGUGAACCAGAAGAACCAGAAAAGCUGCCAGAUCAAGGUCCAGAAGACAGCAGAGGUGGACUUUCCCCCCUGUGUUUUUAAACAGGUCUGUAGGACAUUCUUAUCAGGUGGACCUUUAAAAAAGGCAAUUAACCCUGGAGUGCUCAGUGUCCAAACCGCCGUACACAGGAAACGGAGGGUCACUGCAUUUUGUGAGGUUUUUAAUCUCUGUUGAAGGGAUUGCAGGAUGAGGAGCUUAAGAUGCAGGUUUUAUUUAUUUAAAAGGGCAUUCCCUUAAUGCUGUAGAAAAAUAAAGGAUGACCUCUCCCUGCCCCUUAAACCUGAACGUUAGUGGCGUCAAGAUGUUUAAUGAGUAGUUUUCGGUGGCAUAAUAUACGAGAAUAGUGAGGAAUAGAAAUAGAAAAGAUGGGGAAAUAAUAAUAAAAAGAGAAGGGUUCUACUUUCUAAGAAUUUCUUUGGGGCUCCUCCACUGGCUUCUACCGCAGGUAUACUCUGCAAUGUGCUCUGUAACCUUGACACAAAAACAGGGCAUUAGUGAUGGAUUUGUUCUGCUUUAUUGGUUUGUUCUGGGAUGCAUCCCCAAUGCUACCACAUUGUUGCUGUCUGGAGAGGCUGUAAUGCAACAAAGAAGCACAACCCACCCUGAACAUCUGUGGUAUGAGAAGUUACUGGAUCUCAGCAGGAAAUUGCAGGAUAUGCACUAUUUGGAAACGAAGCAAGUACAACUGCCUGAAAAGAAUAGCAGGCACAAAUCGUACUGAAGGUGGGAUCACAGGCGACCGCCCCGAUAGCAUUGUGAGCACAACUCAUCAUGAAGCGGUUUACACAUUCCUGAUUACUUUGCAUUCAGUGCGCUCCUGCCAGUGCUGUGCACACAUAGCAUUAGCCAUAAUCCAUAUCUAUCCUAUAUCUAACUUUUUGUUUCUGAUGAAAUACUGCAUUUUGAUGCAUCCCCCCCCCCCCAACAAGCUUCGGUUGGAAUGGAGUAAAAAUGACCAAGCUGCAUUUUAACCUAGUAGUGUGAACACAUCUGAUGAGCAGGAGAAUUUGGGGAAGGAGCCCAGCAGGUGGGGAGAUGAGGAUUCACAUCCCAAGGAGGGACUGAACAGGCUGUUAGGGAAGUGUUCUGCCCCCAAACUAUUGAAUGUCCUGGGCCUGAGUUUCAUGGCACCUUAAAGACAACACACAUUUAUCAUGCCAUAAGCUUUGCUGAAUUCAAGCCCACUCCAACAGACACAUUCAUCAGUUUCAUUGCAGUGUCGUAUAAACUGGGACCAAGAAACAUGAGCAAAGAGGUUGAAUAAAUAAUGCCAAAUAUUAAUUUAGAGAUGCCUUGUUGCCACUCACACCUCCAGCAAAUGCCAAUAUGUGUGUCCUCUUCUAUACUGCAGAUCUGAAAACAAUAACCAGUCACUUUAUGACUUGUAUCUGGUUUUUAUGUUUUACAGUUCUACAACACCCCGAUAUUUAUGAUAUGGUGGUACGGAAACAAAACACCAUUUAUUUUCUUACAAAUGGUACAAGCCAACAAAUACUCUUAAGGGACAAAAGUGUGAUCCAACACAUAAGAAACACAAAUGGAUGAUUUUAAAAAUCAGUGUAGCUGCAUUACACAAAAUCUAAAUAGUCCCAUGCAGAAGUAAUAGAUGCUGUACUAUAGUUCAUCCUAAACAGACGGUUCAUAGUCUUCAACAACAGGUUGUAGUGCGAGCUGCUUUGAGGCAUAAGAAGAAUCAGAGAUCAGAGGAUUGCUUGCUCCAGUGCUAGUGGGUAUAAGGAAUAUUAAGUCAGUGUGUCUUACAAAACUAUAUGCUCUUGGUGAUUAGAUACGAAAUGGAGGCAGGGCCCUUUUGUAGUUGGGUAGAACUGGGAAUUUUGGCAGGUGCAGUUUGGCAGCAGCAUCUGUUGAGAUUUCCCUCUUCCGUGCAGCUGUUAAAAGGUACAGAAAUGCUCUCAUCCUUUGCGCUUGACCAUCCUACAUGUAUUUUGUCAUAACGGGGCAGGGGGAGGAAUUCCCCCUCGCUUCAUAAACGCCAGCUAAAGAAGCUAAUGAGCAAAAUAGGCAGUUCUAAAAUUUCCUCCAACAGUUACAAGCAUCUCUAUCUUGUGAUGUCAAGUGCCACCUGGUGUUUGACUUAGUGAAAAGCAAUGGGAUGUGGGCCAUUAUUUCUCAAGCACCAUCUUGUGUACCUUGCACAGAAUACCAAGCACAAAAAUUCCCUGUACAAGCAUUUUUUUCUGUUUGGAGGGUAGUGGGGGGCUGGCCAUCAGCAAUGCUUACUCCUUGGCAGAUGCCCCCUUUUGUACUGCAGCACUUUUAAAAAAUGGUUGGAAUGGAAUGAAGCAACUUUUUUGAUGCUCUAUAUCCAAAGCAUAACUUCUGAUGUAUUUGGUUUAUUUGGUAAGUAUGCCCUGCCUCUUGUCUUUAAAAAAUAGAAGAGACAAGUCACAUUUUUUCAACCCCAUUUGCUUUCACAGCACGGCCAAAUAAUUGAGUUCAUAUGCACCAGGGGAUGGAGAACUUGUGGUCACAUUCCCUCCCGGGAAACCUCCUAUGGACCAUAUAUGAGCGGUGGGAACUAGGACCAAAGACAAAAAUGGGCAGAACAAUGGAUUAAACUCAUUUGUACAGUAAACUGUAUUCCAGCCACACCAAAGUUAGAGGUUUACACACACACCCUCUUCAUCCUGGCAAGCAAGAGGUGUUAUCACAAUUCAAGAGACAUGUUUCAGGGAGCCAGCGUGGUGUAGUGGUAAAGAGUGGUGGACUCGUAAUCUGAUGAACCGGGUUCGCUUCCCUGCUCCUCCACAUGCAGCUGCUGGGUGACCUCGGGCUAGUCACACUUCUUUGAAGUCUCUCAGCCCUACUCACCUCACAGAGUGUUUGUUGUGGGGGAGGAAGGGAAAGGAGAAUGUUAGCCGCUUUGAGACUCCUUCGGGUAGUGAUAAAGCGGGGUAUCAAAUCCAAACUCUUGUAUUAAAAAAGAGAGAGACUUGUUUCAGCCAAACAAAAGCACUCAAGGAGGGCACAGAGCAGGUCCAAUGAAUGCUGUGGCCUGGGAAGAGUACAGAGGGGUCUGUUGGAGAGGUCUCUAGGGCUGCAUUUGGGCCCCAGGCCUGAGGUUCCGCACCCCUGAUAGGCACACAAUUGCCUUGAGAAUUAGUUGGGCCACCGCAAAUGGUUUCGUGACCUGACCACGAUGGGUCACACAGAGGGAUCAUUUAUACGAGUCACCACUAUAUGUGAUUGCUCCCCUCGUGAUUCUUCAAACUGUGAGAUAAAAGUAUUGUUUUCAUUUGUGUAAAUAAGCCCUCAGAAUAAUUCUGUGCCAUCCAGCUUUUUUGAACGGGAACUAUUAAUUGCAAAGCACCUUUUAAGGUUGAAUUGGCAACCAUAGAUUUAACUUAAUGUUCCAGGGAGCUUUCAGUUUGCAAAAUAAAUGUACAAGUUUUUUUUACUGGCCCUGCUCCUAUACCUUUCAUAACAGCCUAAUGUACCAAAAUUUAAGUUUUUCCUGACAUGCAUGGAGGUUAAUAGUGGAAAAAUACAUUUUACCAACAUUUAGAUGUUGGUUGUUGUUGUUGUUUUUUAAAUCCCCAUAAAUCUGAAACUGGCAGACAUCUCAAUACUUAAGAGGGAGGGUAGAUGGGAUUCCUUUUACAAUGCAAGUCAUUAGUUACCUGAAAACCUAUUCUUCAGUGUGUGGAUCCUAUGUAGGUCCGAAUCGGCCCAAAUAUACCCUCCCCUUACUCACAUGCUUUGGCUGCGUGUACCCCCUACACUGAAAGCACAUGAUUUCCCCCAAAGGAUCCUGGGAAUGUAGUUUACUCCUCACAGAGCUACAGUUCCCAACACUUUUAACAAACUACAGUUCCAAGGAUUUUUUGUGUGAGUCGUGUGCUUUUAAUGUAUGGCGUCUGUGCAGCCUUCCAGCCUUGCAAUUUGAUCUGGUGAUCCUUCAGAGUUCUGUGACAAGUGUGAUCAUAUCCACCUUAAGCAGCCUAUAUAUUCCAAGUGUGUUUUUGCCUCAGAAGUCGUCUCCUUUUACUCAGCCCUAGCCAUUUUGCUGCUUCUCCAUAGGUGGGUGGUUGAGAUCAGAUCAAGAAGCAGCUGGUUAAAACAACACAGACGCUUAGCUUAGCUCAGCGCAGCCAAUGCUAUUUAAGUGAUGAGCCGUGGGAUAAAGUGAGGCUGUUGUGUGACGGUUCGCUUCUCUCUCCUGCAAAAUGGUUCCGCUUGAACAUUCUGCAGAUAGCUACCACCAGCGCAUACCAUUUGCAGCAAACGGGGCACUUGGCACUGCAUUUCGUAAAGAUGCUCCUCCUUUUUUCCCUUUGGCAGCCAAGCAUUUGUGGUUUAGCAGAACAGAAGGGAAAGUGCUUAUCUCUAGUGGACCAGAAAGUGAAUCUGAGGUCUGUGGGAGGAUUGUGGUUUCAUUCGCGUGUGGGUUCCAGCCCCAGAUUUUCAUUCCUUGGAGAGCUGUGAGCCCCCAAAAAGUGUAGGGUAUUUAAGCACUGCACUCAGUCUGAAAGUUAUUGCUAUAUUAUAAUCUGGCGUCAGAAUGAAUUCUGGAGUAUAACAAACAGCAUGUAAGGUUUGUAGGUUUUGCCACAGACCAUCUCUUGGGAAGGUCUGUUCCACUGUCAAACGACUUUUUCUGUCAGUAAGUUCUUCCUGAUAUUUAGUUGGAAUCUCCUUGAAUCCACUAGUCUGUGCCCUAGCCUCUGGAGCAGAAGAAAACAAGCUUGUUCCAUCCUCCAUGUGGCAGCCGCUUGGAUAUUUGAAGAUGGCUUUUAUAUCUCAUCUCAUUUUUGUCACAUACUCAAUUCUCUUAGCUCAGAGCUUUCCAAAUGUGUGUCGUGACACAUAAGCCUGUUCCUCAUAAGGCUUGGUUUCCAGACCCUUGAUCAUCUUGCUUGCCCUCCUCUGCACACAUUCCAGCUUGUCAACAUCCUUUUUAAAUUGUGGCACCCAGAACGGGACACAGUACUCCAGGUGUCGUCUGACCAAGGCAGAAUAGAGCAGGACUAUGACUAUCCUUGAUCUGGACACUAGACUUCUGUUGAUGCAGCCUAGUACAGCAUUAGCUUUUUUUGCUGCUGCAUCACACUGUUGACUCAUGUUAAGCUUGUGGUCUGCAAAGACUCAUAGAUCCUUUUCACAUGUACUACUGGCAGUCCAGAUGUCCCCCAUCUUUUAUUUGUGCAGCUGGUUCUUCCUGCCUAAGUGUACAUUUGUCCCUAUUGAAAUCCAUUUUGUUAGUUUUGGCCCAGUUCUCCAAUCUGUUAAGGAGUGUCGUAUGUGAACAGUGGGGAGAGUAGAGAUUUUCUUUACUAGCACAAAUGUAGCAAGGGAAUAAGCCCUGAACAUUUCCCCCUGACCCAUGUUAUAUUCACAAUAUGGACAGUUAUGAUUCUCAGGCUAGCUUAUCUUUAAGAAUGGCUUUGCUGAGCUGGAGUGUAGUGCUUUAUCUCCAGCUGUAAAUAGCUUCAGAGCUGAGAAGCUAAUGAGCAGGGCAUUUUGAUGGAUCAUAAUCUAGUAUUCCCAUUUACUUGACUUAGCCCUGAACCUACCUCUGUUGUUUUUAUGCAGCACAGGAUGGGCAGCUGAAAAUGAGCACAGGAGUCCACCUAUAAUAGAUUGGUGUGUAGCAGAAGGAAUUUACGCUGCAUGGCAAGUUGCAGAGAAAAUAAUAAGAAGAGGAGUUUGGAUUUGAUAUCCCUACCCGAAGGAGUCUCAAAGCGGCUAACAAUCUCCUUUCCCUUCCUCCCCCACAACAAACACUCUGUGAGG
rnacentral:lncRNA from 1 species